UACGAAGGAGGCUAGCGUUGCUCGGAAUCACUGGGCGUAAAGGGUGCGUAGGCGGGUCUUUAAGUCAGGGGUGAAAUCCUGGAGCUCAACUCCAGAACUGCCUUUGAUACUGAGGAUCUUGAGUUCGGGAGAGGUGAGUGGAACUGCGAGUGUAGAGGUGAAAUUCGUAGAUAUUCGCAAGAACACCAGUGGCGAAGACGGCUCACUGGCCCGAUACUGACGCUGAGGCACGAAAGCGUGGGGAGCAAACAGG
rnacentral:rRNA from 1 species